rnacentral:lncRNA from 1 species
CCGCCAUCAAAAGGUUCGCCGCCAUCAACGGUUCGCCGCCAUCGACAGUCGACAACGGAGCUUAUUCUCAGCAUCAAUAUCCACGGGCUCACUGAAAUCGGAACUUGGGUCCAACCUCUCGGCCGUUCACUGCCCUGUUCAUCCAACGUCCACCGCCAUCAAAAGGUUCGCCGCCAUUUAUGCUUGUUUAAUUUUUUGUAUUUUUUUGCUUGUUUAAUUUUUUGCUUGUUUAAUUUUUUGCUUGUUAAUUUUUUGCUUGUUAAUUUUAUGAUACAUUUAUGCUUGUUUUAUUUCUUUGCUCAACCCGUUCCCAUCAUAGAUUUUUUUUUCAAGACCGUCACAGUUUCCUUGCAUUUUGACAUUGCACCUGCUGGUGCACUUGGCAAGUGCACCAGCAGGUGCAUUUUCACAUUGCACCUGCUGGUGCACUUGCCAAGUGCACCAGCAGGUGCACAAUUGGAAAUGCACCUGCUGGUGCACUUCCAAGUGCACCAGCAGGUGCACAAUUUAAAUUGCACCUGCUGGUGCACUUGCCAAGUGCACCAGCAG